rnacentral:rRNA from 1 species
UACGUAGGGUGCGAGCGUUGUCCGGAAUUAUUGGGCGUAAAGGGCUCGUAGGCGGUUUGUCGCGUCGGGAGUGAAAUCCACUGGCUUAACUGGUGGCUUGCUUUCGAUACGGGCAGACUGGAGGUAUGCAGGGGAGAACGGAAUUCCUGGUGUAGCGGUGAAAUGCGCAGAUAUCAGGAGGAACACCGGUGGCGAAGGCGGUUCUCUGGACCAUUAUUGACACUGAGGUACGAAAGCGUGGGUAGCAAACAGG